rnacentral:lncRNA from 1 species
CAAAGGGGUGUGAAGUUGCAAGAACAUUAUAAGCAUCAGAAGAGAGCACACUGGAAACAAUUCUCUAGGCAAGUGCUAUCCAUUGGAAUGUGAUUAGCAACUAUGUACAGAUGACAAAAUCAAUGAUGUUCUUUGCUGUACGUUUAUUCUGAAAUGGCAAGGAAAACAUUAUAAUCAGCAUCAUAAGGCAUAUAUUUGGAUAUUUCCUUCAAUAAUCAAGAACCAACAAUCUAUAGCAAGCUAAAGGCAUCAUACUAAACCAUAUGUCCAAGCACUACAAAAUAUUAUCCAGUCUACCAUUUCCUUGCUAUCCUCUACCCUUCAACAUGAUCAUAAGGAACCUCAUCAACUAAACGAUCCCAAUUCGUAUACUAACACCAAUAAAACCAACCAAAUCACCCUAAGGUACCUGAAUCUUAUCGGAAAGGUAAGAAGGAUCCGGAAAAUCCGUAACCAUAAGGCCUAGGUCACCACCGCUUCCACCACCUCCCAUCUCGAGAAAAUCCGUAACCAUAAGGCCUAGGUCACUUUCACCAUCGAGGCUAGAAU